CAAACAUUAAUUUCAGAUAGAAGAGAAACAGGAGGCAAAAAAAACCCCAAAACCAACAGAAAAAAAAUCUCAGCAAAGCAGACCUUUGAAAGGACUCUACCAUGAGAGGGAUAGCAUGUUGAACACAUAUAUACUAAAAUGUGAAAACAUCAGAAGUUACAGGUUUUCCUGGCAAAUGGAUUUUGAUGGAGACAAAAGGCAGAGUUUUUCCUGGAUUUUUAGAAGUCUCUAAAUCAAGCUUAUAACAAGAUUCAUCCCUUUCACUCGGACGUGCUCAUAGACUGCGGAGUCCAAGACAGUGCCAUAAGGAAUAUCUGUCUGCCUCGAGAGAUCCUGGAGAGACCUUAAUUGUUGGUGAAGAAAAGAGACACAGGAGACUUGAAGCCACAUUUUCAAGAGGAAUGAGC